UUUCUCAGUUCCAACGUUCUUAUCUGCUUUGUCCCACAUCAUUAGUGUAAUUAAUAUUGCUUCGGUCGCAAUUUAAUUAUUCCGAGUUUAUGAUCACGCUGCUAUCAGAGCACAUAUGAGCAGCUUAUCUGGUGCAUAUUUUCCACACCACACCACAUUUUUUGCACCAAUUCAGCCGUCGUGCAAUAUUUUCUGAAUUCCUCCUCUGGUCUUUAUCGCAUCCAAGAACGAUAAUUACGGAUGACAUAAUGUUAUGUAUUUUUUCACCAAAUAUCAAGUACAAGAGUAUCUCUUAUGACCGUACAGGGUCUCCUCACUAAGUGGGGUAGUAGUUUAAUCGAGAUAGUAACAAACAAUAGAUAAGACGCUCUGCUUGCUUUCCGGUGGAGUCUACGAUCCUAUGUCUGCUAUCGGUCAAAUGCUGAUGUUUGUGACACC
rnacentral:misc_RNA from 1 species